UUUUAGUUGUGCUAGCGUAAAAACACAUUUCCUUUCUUCUUUGCCUUUGAAGGGUAGUUGAAAGUAACUGAAGCGGCCCGUCCAUGGGUGAUUUUGCCCAAAAUCUCAGUGCCCUACGCGUCCAUGGGGCGAUGCCGUACCAAAUCGCAAGGGGAAAAAGAAAUAGAUGUUGGUGCCCCAAAUCCGAGUGCCCUGCCCUUCCAUGGGGAGAUGCUCUACCAAAUCGACAUGCGCUCCGGAUCAGGUGUGGUUCACCAGCGAUGCGGCAUCUCACUUUUGGCUAUGCAGUCCAUUGGCGCUGGGACAUUUAGAUGGGGCGUUGGGUUCAGGGGCCAUCUUCUGUGUGUUGUUCCUAUCGUCUUAGGCUGCGGAUGUGCUCACAGUACGCCUCUCCUUCUUAGUUUUUAGUACAGGGGGAAAACACAGUUCCUUCUUUCCUUCGUCCUUAAGGGAAAAAAGAAAUGGAGGCCGUUGGCCCAAAUUUGAGUGUCUUGCCCAUCCAUUGGGAGAUGAUGUACCCAAUUAGUGAAUAUGGCGUAUCAGAUUAAUUCGCUUGCCCAUCCAUGGCCAAAGCUUGGAGGAUAUCAUGCUGGUGGCCAUUUUUUGCCGAGACCUGGACAUGUGGUGCGUAUCAGCACGAAGGGCCACUUCGAGUCUCUUGGUGACAUAAUGAUUUUAGGAGCAUCACCGGCAAACCUACCUUCAGUUUAAGCUCGUGGUUUGGAAUUCCUGGGAAGGUCAUCUUGUUAAGGAACUCCGUUGGACACAUAUUCUCCAUUGUGUUGUACUUCAUUGUUGUCUUGCAUAUAGUGUCCAAGCUUAGGUAUGUCACCUCUUCACCUUGUAUUUCGCUCAUUGUGUAGUCAUUUAUCUUCUCAACUGUUUCAUUCCUUGGGCAUAGUAUUGCUCUUUCUUCGAGAAAUUCAUGGUCACAAUAGUUUUGUUGCAAGUUUGGGUACGUGCUUUUGACUAUCUCUUCUUUGGGGUCUUCUCCUUUAUGUAGAAUUAUGUCUUUAGGUAUUCUUACCCAAUCAUCUCCAUCAUCGUUUGUUUUUUUCCAUCGCCAAUUUGUAAUAUCCAUUCUGCAAAUUCAGCCACAUUUUGCCUUUGUAUUGGAUCUUCUGACAGGCACUUCAGCCGCAUGUUUUCAGUUAGUCUAAAUAUUUCGAAGUGCUUCCAUAGGUAUGACCUUUUGAUUGAGGCAUUUACUAUGUGCUCUCUCUUUCCCUUUGUUAUCAUUGGAAGUAUUUGUCUGAAGUUGCCUCCUAGCACAACUGUCAUACCACCAAAUGGCCUUUCGUCACUAUUUUGGUUUGUGAACCUUAGAAUAUCCCUAAGGCUUUUGUCUAGUGCCUCAAAGCAGUGUUUGUUUGUCAUAGGAGCCUCGUCCCACAGUAUCAGUGAGGUCUUCUUUACCAGUUCAGCCAAAUGUGAGCCUUGUUUUAUUUCACAUGUUGAUUCUUCUGUGAUAUUUAUUGGAAUGUGGAAUCUUGAGUGCGCUGUUCUUUCACCUUGGAGCAGCAAAGCUGCAAUGCCAGAUGAUGCUACCGCAAGCACUAUCUUUCCCUCUGAUCGUAGCUUCGUUGUAAUUGCUUUCCAUAGAUAGGUUUUCCCUGUGCCACCAUAGCCUUCUACAAAUAUCUAUUUUCCAAGUCCUCUCUCAGCUGAUUCCAUUAUUGCAUCAAAAGCCAUUUUCUGGUCGUGGUUAAGAUUGUUUAUUAUUAUUUGGUGCUCACUCUUUAGUGCCUCCAUGUCAUAGCUAAGUUCUUCGUUUAUCAUCCUGUUUCCAAGUUGUUCAAGUUUUGUAGCAUUUGGUAGUUCUAUGUCUGGAUAGUCCUUUAGUGUCUUUCCUGCUUGCCUCAUUAGUUUCUCUAUCUCAAUCAAAGCAUAUGCUUUUUUCUGUGAAUCAGUAAGCUGCAGCGUAGGAAAGUUUAGGAUAAUUCUUCUUUUGUACUGGAUAUCUUCAGACAGUGCCUCCCAUGUUGAAUCCCACAACAUCUUUGGGCUGGUCACCUCACAAUGGCAUAAAAUUGUGGUGAAUAGUUGUCGUAACUGUGUCCCUGAUCCCCAGCUUGAUGCUUCAUUGAUGCAUUCAAUCCACUCACCAUCGUCAUCAAGAAAUCCAAGCGCUUGGCAUGCUGAUUUGUAUGUUGGGUGAACAACUCCAUUAACUGUUCUAAUAUCCUCAAAUGAUGUGCAUCCUUUCUUGGUGUUUAGAAGCAUUCUCAUAUAAUACCGGUCGCCACUUGCAGGGUGUGCAUAGUAGAUUCUUCCAAUCGCAAAGCCCCUUUUCCGCUCCUCCCAAGUUUUGCUUUCACUUUUCCAUACAAAUUUUGAUGGGAAUACUGCAUAGGUUAAUUCUUUUCCCACCUCAUGUAUUUUGUUUGCCUCCAUCCACUCAGUGAACUUUGUACUUGUGGAUCCUGGUCUUCUUACUAUCUUCUCGAUGUCAGUCGAGUCCGGAAAAAUGACUUGUUGCUCAUUUUCAAUGUGGAAUGGCAGUCUCUCGACGGGUGGAUCACGAUGGUGAAGAUCAAACUGGAAUAUCCGCCAGCAUGCUUCGGUUGUUGAUAUGUAUCUCAUCUCUAGGUAUUUCCUGAUUUCAUCAUAAUCGUUUGCCGCAUCCCUUUCCUUUAGUAAGGCUGUUACUUGGUCGUCGUCUUUAUGGAUGUACUUAAAUAGGUACUUAAUUGACCUGGACCUGUUGCACCACUCGACAUUUAUGUGAGCUUGGAAUUUGACCAAAAGGUUUCUGUUGUAUGGCAUGACAAAUAUGUUGUCGAGCAUUGCUCCUCCCUUUUUAAUCUUCCUUCCAUUGUCUCGCCUUCUAUAUACUGGAAAGCCAUCCUCAUCGAUUGUGCUAUCGACAUUGUAUCCUUUUGGGAAGUGUUUACUACAUCUGUUCUCCAUCAUGCAUGGCGAUUUUGUAUUUGCCUCUCCGCAAGGCCCGUGCAUCAUGAAAUUCUCAACAGCUACAUAUCCAUCCGGAUCGACAUCUUUGUCUGGGAUCUCCACACUGAUUAUUUGGUCAAUUUCUGAUGGUCCUUUGCACUUGUAAUUAUCUUUGAGGAAUACCAGUAUGUGCGCAUGCGGGAGUCCCCUCUUCUGGAACUCUAUCACGUAGAUAACUGCAUUGAUUGAAUACAUAGUUUGGUUUUGUUACAUUUCAGAAGCAUUUUAUUAAAUAGACAAAGGCUAUAGUGUGCUAAAACUAUUAAAAAUUUAGAUGCUAUUAGUUGCGAUGAGUAGUCGACUGAUCUUACUUGCUAUCGUUUCUCCAAAGUGUUUCUUCACAAGAUGUCUCUCAUCAACUCCUUUAGUUUUAUCAUGAAUACUCGAUCAACAAUAUCUGGCCGGUCGGCUGGAUUUAAGCCUCCUCCUGCUUCAUCUAGCAUGUAUUGGAUCUCGGGCCACUUUGCAUUGCAUGUGAAUGUUAUAAACAGGUCUGGAUAUCCAGCCCAACGGCAUAUUGCAAAAGCGUCUUGCAAGUUCUGUGCCUUGUAUCUUCUGCCUCCUGUAAAAGAUGAAGGUACAAUUAUCCUCUUUCCAACCUGCUCUGUUCUGGUGUCCCCUCGCUCAAUCGCGUCUUGCAGUCCACUAUAAAGUUCAGUUCGUAACUUCCCUUGAUUAUUCCUGAUCUAGUUUAGUCUGUUUUGCUCAAUGCAUGUGUAAACAUCUACCCAAAAUUGCAGCGAUAGAUGUCUAGACGUUAGCAGUGACAUUCCUUGGUCAGGUCUUUGCAGUAGGUAGUAUGCGUAGUAGUCCAGCAUAGUUACAUAUUUCCUGCUUUUGUCACCUUCUUUUCUUCGCUUGUAAGGUAUUUCAAGCUUGAAGCCGUCUUCUCCGUAUGGAAACAACAUCAGGUAUUGCAUCGACAUGAACUUUGGAUGGAUUUCUGAUAUUCUGUGAGGUUCCAUAUUUUUGUACUCGACAACGUUGUCUCGUCCUUCGCUCUCUCCAGUUGGAUCUCUUACAACCAAUGCUGCAACUUCCUAUGCAGAUGGAAGGUUGUGUGUUCCGUUCCUUUUCCCAAGUAUCUGAAGUGUGUAAUCGUGGUAGUCUUCUUCUUUGAAUCUAUCUCUUGCCAUUCUGAAAGAUUUCGCGAGGAUGUUGUUCUCAUCAAGCAUAUUUUGUAGUUUUUCGACAAUGGCAGUGUUCACCGUUGAUUUUUUAUCAUUGCAUCUUGAAGCAUCUAUCCUGUUUUGAACCUCAUUUUCUGUCUGAUAGAUGUAUAGCUGGGCGAAUCGAGGUUUGUUACCUUCUUCAGGUAGUAGACUUCCGAUACGGUGGUAGUUCUGGCCAUGCAGUCUAAAAACAUAUGGUCCUUUGCCUUCGUUUAUUUCUUUGUCAACAGCUCCUCCCAUUGAUGUGAAUGAGAACAUUGAGUUGUAUGACCUGAUGUUUUCUUUGAAGUUUGUUGCAUCACUUCCUUCACCUGUUAAUAGUCCUGCGAGGUAAGGUGGAGGAUAUGCUAUCUUUGGUAGGUCAAUCUUACCUUGUUUACAGCAAAUUCUGAAAGAAGGUUUUUUGGUUCCUUUAUGAGAAUUUAAUCUUUCCUCACACCAUAGUAUUGCAUUGAAAUGUUCGCAUCUAUAUGUUGGCUUUCCAAAGUUCCAUAUCGUGCUAUCAUAACUUCUGGACGUAGUGCUGCUGCUUGUUUCUAUGAUGUUGCUUUGAAGGUCAUUGUCCCUCCCAUUUCUCCUUGAACGCUUGACAUCUCUUAUUUCAUUGAUUUGUUCCUUUCUCUUCCGUGAAGCAUCUUCUUCUAUUUUAUUGGUUGUUUCAUGUGUAUUCCUGCAUCUCUUACUCCUUUUUUCUUGUAGUUGUUGUUUCCUCCUGAUAAUAGCUUCUUUAGCUUCUUUUGCAAGUGGGCCUGCUGAUUUUGAUGUAUACUGUCCCUUCAUUUCUGCAUUUGAUAUUCUUUUAGCAAUAUAGUAUCAAAUAUUUGAAAGGUACUUUAUGCACAAUGUCAUAAACAAAACAAUGUAUGCACUAAAUAAGAGAUGCUGGCUGCAUGUAGAAACAACCUAUAAUUCUUAUCAAUCAUGCUUUUCAGGAUUGUUGUGUUGCGUGGUUCGAGCUGCAGUGUAUGGCAUUAUUGGUGUGACAGUGUGGUUGUUUCUCAGUGCACGACAAUUGCUCCAUGGGAAUUACUACGGCGAAGUACUCUCAAAGUCAUUUUUAGCACUACACGUAAAAUUAUUUGGUUUUGUAAUAUUUACAAAGGGAAAUCUUUCAAAUGUAUAUUUUAGAGAAGUACAAAAAAUUAGUCAUUACAUGAAGAUAUAAAAAGGUGAAUGAUAUACCUGAUAGUGUCUUCUUGCCUUGGUUUUUAAAAUUUGUAAAGCUUCACACGCUUCUGCUAAUAAAUUAUUGUCACAAUUGUAUCUUUGCUGCAAAGCAAAUCCUGUACUGAUCCUGGAAAGUAUUUCGUGUGAUGUACAAAAUUAUUAGAGCAUAUCUUUCUAUUGCUGCCAUGAUUUUAUCAGUCUGUAUGUCACUUUUAGUUCAUCACAGAAGCUAGUACUGUUUUCUAAAAGAAAAUAGAGCUUAUGUGAAGAGCCAAGGCAUGACGUGUGAGAAUAGCUUAUUUGAGUCAGUAUUAUAUGCCUAAGUGUAAAACAAUGUAAUAAUGAAUAAAAAAUUCAUGAGGUUGCUUUGAAUUGCUGAUAGUGGUAGUUUUGCACGUACCGUCUGAUCUGAAGUCUGGCAAGUCUGAUUCGCGUGCAAGUUCUUCCAGCAAUUCAAUCUAGGUCGAUUCUAACUAAUCUUGUUUAGUUUUAGACCGAUCGAUGAUCCAAAGGUCUAGAUGAUAGGAUCCCUUGGUUAAUCAAAGUGUAUGUUCAGCUAUAUAAGGGUAGCACACCAACGUGUGCUCGGAUCAGCCUAUUCGAUGCGGAGUAGGAACCGAGUUCAUAACGAUUACGGUAUACUAUAGUUUUUUUUGGAAAAGUAUACUGUAGAUAGAUAAAUUCCAAGCCCAACUUUACAUGCCCCACGUAUGAAGCCUAUUCAGGCCAAGCAGUUUUGACAACACCACGUAUAAACAACCCGUACAGGUUAUCAUCAUCUACUUACAACUCCCCUCCUUUAUAUAUACAAAUAAAAAAACUCUCAGCUCAGUCGUUCCCCUCCAGUAUCCUUAUCCAUCCGCACGCACCACUUCUUCCAUUAGCCGGCUGAUUAAGAUCUUGCUGCUUGCCAUCACCAAAUUGAUUCUCAAACCAUCACGGCUGAUUCAUUCCUUCCCAUUUCUCUUCGUGUAGGUACUGGCACAGUUUGCCGUUGAGCAGAGUGCACGGACGCAUCCGUCGCAUUCUCAAGGAUGUGGAUUCUCGACGACCUCGUGGAGUUCGGCAGAGCGUUCUCAAGGGUUUCGGCCAAGAUGAUGACCUCUUCUUGGCGUACGGCUAGAGGUCCAUGGCAGAGGUGUUGUAGUUUGGCCCAGUGGAGGAGGCUGCGAGGGAAAUCACCGAGUCAUGUACUGAGUGAGUUAUUAGAUCUGACAUCUAGAGAAUACAAAUAGAAGCCGACGACCAUGAGAUGCUGGCCUUCUCAUUGUUCUUGCUGUCAGGCUACCACUAACUGUUUGUUGAGCAGCUCACUUGUGCUAGCAAGACGCCAUGGAUUUGCUUAUAACAAAUCCUGCUAUUAAGUUACAGAUGAAGCAAGGUCAGAAGUGAUUUUGCGCCAAUUCUUCCAACGUCGCUUCAUCGGGUGUCGAGUGUGCUUACGCGUGAAUUUGUGGGGCGUCGAGUGAAGCGGCUGGACGUGGCUUUUCGUCUGGACGUUGAGUUGCGUGUGGCGUGUUCAAGUCGCCGUGGUCGUUUUCUUGUAAUUGUUUGAUGGGUACUUUUGCAGCCGUGUGUACUUAUUUAUAUAUGGGUUUAGGUGUCUUGGUUUGUGGUGGCUGGGACCGGCUGGAAAUCAUAUGCCUACACCGUGUGCUAAUCAAACUUGUUUUGUUUGUUUGUAUUCGUUCCUGAAACUUUCCUCACGUGAGGGAGUUGUCCUUAUACGUUUAAUAUUAGGUUCCUUA